rnacentral:lncRNA from 1 species
GCAGCGUUGGUCAGGAUUGCGAUGCGAAAGCACAAUGUAUAAUGUGGACGUGCUGCCUGAGAAGUCUCACAGCAACCGCAUGUUACCAAAGAGCACGAGUUGGUGGAAGAUGCUCAAGCUAUAACAUCAGUGGAAUAUACAACUCUAAUUGCCCUUGUGCACCAGGUCAUGGAACGUGUAUCAUGGGAAGAUGCGUAUUACAAAACACCGGUAGACACAACUUUCGACAACGAUUAUAGUUACUUCAAAAUAGGUUUAAACGAAAUGCAUCACCCAAGCGUAGGUGAAAUAAAAACAAAUUAUUACGGUUUAUAUAACAUGGAGCACAACGCCAAUAAAUAUGUGGGUUUCUUUUUAAA